rnacentral:tRNA from 1 species
GGACUUGUUCGCACCUUCCUUAGAGCAGGCGACUCAUAAUCGCUUGGUCGCUGGUUCAAGUCCAGCAAGGGCCACCA